rnacentral:rRNA from 1 species
UACAUAGGGGGCAAGCGUUAUUCGGAAUUAUUGGGCGUAAAGGGCGCGUAGGCGGCCUGGCAAGUGGAAGGUGAAAUCCCUCGGCUUAACCGAGGAACUGCCCUCCAAACUGCUUGGCUUGAGUCCGGGAGAGGUGAGUGGAAUUCCCAGUGUAGCGGUGAAAUGCGUAGAUAUUGGGAGGAACACCAGUGGCGAAGGCGGCUCACUGGACCGGAACUGACGCUGAGGCGCGAAAGCGUGGGGAGCAAACGGG